GGUGGUUGGGGAAUGAGUCUGGUCAAGCUGGGGAUGCGAGUCAUCUGGUUUUCCCUUUUGUCACCUGCAGCUGCACCUGCAUGCAGCUAAGUAUUACACUACAGCUAAGAAGUACAUGUUGCAGUGAGUGUGUUAUGGUUGAAUUAAAGCACAGGCAUUUGUAGUGACGUGAUAAGUGGAUUUACACUGAUAGCCAGCUUGCUGUGUUCCCAGUUUUCUCAACUGUAUAGGAAUAACUUCUGUGCAUCCUUGCCUAUUUUUAGCCCAGAAAUAGUGAUGGAUUUUUAUAGAAAGACAAUUGCUGUUUUUCACUCAUCCAGACAUGCUACUCUCAUAUUAAUUAAUUACAAGUGUAGAUAUAUUCUUAACUUUUAUGAUAAAUUUGCAAAUUUACGAAUAAAAAAAAAAACCUAAAUAUAUUUAAGCUCAAAGCCUUGUCUCUGUCAGGUAAUUAUUAUUUAGGACUAUAGAAGGGUGGUGUGUUAAGUGGACUGAGCAGGUGGACCCAAAUGCUGGAGACAUCAGGCAGAGCAAGGUUAAAGAUUAACUUAUUUAUUCUGGGUUUGUGAAGGCAAAAACAAAGCUGGAAGCGCAAAAGCAAAACUGAACAAACAAUCCAACAAGACUGAACUGAAAACCAGGACUUAAAUGCAAACUGAACUAAUGAAACAACAAGGAACAGGUGGCAAGACGCAAGGGCAGGCUUAGAGCUGAUUGGCUAGGGAGGACACAGGGAGCAAGGCAGGGCUAACAAGACUGAAUGCAGAGCAGGUGUGGAGGGAAGAUCAGGCUGGGAAAAACAAGAAAAAACACAAAAGGCAAAGCUGCUCUGGGCUGAAAACACAUCAAAAACAGAACUUCAUCCAUAAGCCAAAGUCCACAACCAUGCACAGUCCUCUUAAUAUCUAAACCGACAUUCAUUAAACUGUCUUGGAAUUACAUAAAUAUAACUUAGAUAAGUGCACAAGUCACACUGAGAAAAUACAGCAAAUAUAACUUUAGCACUACAUGGAACCUUUACUAAAGACUACAGACAUAAAUUGCCUUUGACAAACAAGAACCAAUAAAUCUGUCAAGCAGAGUGCUCGGCAUAUUAAGACUGCAUGUAACAUAAAUCAAACUAAAAGACAACCGUAGCUCUGAAUAAUAUAACUAGUGUUAUAGUUCACUUGAGCACUUAGUUUCAAAAAGAGUCAAUGUAGAAAGCAACAGUUUCUCAAGUGGUCCUUAAAUAUAAUCUGCAACCCUUCUUAUCUGUCCUUCUACCCACACAGUCCAGUCUUAAACAAGCAGAAAAGCCUCAGGGCAUCUGGCGGACUGGUGGAGGGACAUAAAGCUAGACUGGGACAGAACAAUAACAUAGACAGCAAUGACAUAUGGAGUGUGUGACGGAGCAUGAGCAGAAGCCAGUGCAAUCUAUUGCUUACAUGUAUAUAAGUUUAGUUCUAUAACAUUUUGUUCUAUAACAGGUCUUCCAAAAAGCCAAAAAGGCAUUCAAAACAAAAAACAGGAAGACUCAGUGAUUGCUGUUACUGACUGCCAGCUCAUGGCGGACACAAACUGGGCAUACUCUGAUUGCCACACACACACACACACACAAUAAAACAACAUCAAGGUUUGAAGUUUCUGGCAGGCUGCAGGGGACAGAUACAGUAUUUUACCAACAGCAUUCCAGGAUUUCUUAAGAACUUCUAUUUAAAAAAAAAAAUCGAAUUCCGCAGCUGUCCAACUUUUCCAAUUCAGUAUGAUGAUCACCAAAAAAUAUCUGGAUUGAGACCUAGCUGGAAAAAAAAGGUGAGAAAAGAGAGGCUGAGAGGUUUGAAAGAAAAGGAAAUAACAGCGAGAUAAGGGUGGUAAUGGCAGGUGCCCAGCUUGGCAACCCCACUGUGUCCUAGCCUGAACCUCAGAGUCAGUUUGGCGUUGGUGUUUUUUUGUGAGAGUGCAGGGAGAGGGGCCACUAUAGUGACACUAGAGUUGCCGGAUAUUAACAAACUACUACAGUAGCUACUACUGUGGAAAGUGGAAGAUACACAGGCAAUAAAUAAUUAAUAAGAAAUUAUCCUUCCACAUUUCUGUUUCAUUACCUUCAAAUUUAUUAUUCUGUUCCAUUCAAACAUCCAACAUGCACAACGGCCAUAUGAUCUAAAUUAGAUUCCAUCUCAGUAAGCCCUACAACUCGCAAGGGUCUUACACAACCCAUUGUGAAUUUCCUUUCAAGUCUUCACAUUUAUUCAUUUUACCCAAGACCAAGAAGGAAUUGGUAUAAAUAUCUCACUCUGCUUUAGAGACAAUUACUAGUAGUACACUAGUAGUACCUUGUGUGCCAUUCUCAUCUCAUGAAAUGUAAGGUUCCUCAACAUACUUUUUACUCAACAUCCAGAAAUGCGGAAAUCAAUCAACAAGCAAAAAAAUAAAGAAACAAGCAGAGCACUACUGGUUGUAGGCUUGUUGUAUGACUGACACAUGGCCAGCACACGUGGUAAAUGCUCACAGUAAUGUGUUGUACAAUGAUACACUACAUGGCCAAAAGUAAGUGGAUACCCUAACAUAUAGUAGACAUAUGUGUGUAAUGAAGCUAUUACAGCCUCCACUUCACUGGAAAGGCCUUGAUCUUGGAGGCUGGUUGCAGCAGUUUUCUCCCAUUUAGCCACAAGAGCAUUAGUGGGGUCAGCUACUGAUGUUGGUCAAGGCUGAUGUAAGGCCAGGCUUACAAUUACUAUUUUUCUUAUAUCACAAACUCUUUACUUUGUACCCUGGUUCUUUGAGAAAAUUUACAAUGUGAUAAGAAGUCAAGAUCGUGAUAUGUAGCACAAGGUAGUGAAGGGCAAAAACGAAGGUCUACGGCACAGAGGAAUAAGCAACACGUCCUUGUAAUCAAACGAGCACAUAGGUCGAUUGUGCCAUGUACUCCAGAAUGAUCCAUAGCAGUGUCUUCUAAUACGCCGCCUUUAUUGGUGCUUUCUAAAACCAUUAAAUAUCACUGUUAAAAAAUUAUUAUGUUUUAUGGUGUAAAAAAUGCUGUGGUUAAGGUCUGUUUAGGUUUAGGAACAAAAAAGCACUUGGUUAACUUUAGGGAAAGAUCAUGGUUUGGGUUAAAAUGAUCACUUGAAACGUGGUGUGGGUUAAAGUCACUACUUCCACACAGUUAAGCAACCUUUGCUGUCAUGGCAACAGUUAACACCAUGACAAUCAUAGUUAUGGUUUUUAAAAAAAACUGUCUCAACUCAGAAUUACCUGUGCAAAACUUAUCUAAAACAGUUAAAAAUCGCUAUUGGAUUGAUUGAUUGUUGGUUGGGCUCUGCACAUGAGAUUUAUUGAAAAUAAGAUAAUAUAGAGAGCAAUAUUCUUAAACAGCCCUUGACCAAAAGUACACAAAAUUAACUAGGGGUGUCCACAUACCUUUGGCCAUAUAGUGUACAGUACGAUGUGUAGAUAAGGAUAUUUACCAUAUCAAGCUCUUUUCCAAGGAAAUCUUUCAUGUCUUCAUCAAAUAAAGUUAAAAUUUAAAUCUAUACUGUAUUUAUCAAUUUAAUUAUUUAUAAAUAACAUGGGAUGCUAAAAUGUUCUCCAUGCUCCACCUUGAUAACAGUGACAGCACUGCCUCCACUGCAAUGAAAACUCAAAGGUCCUAGUGUCUUUAAUGGUCUUUUGACCUUGGUGGUACAUCUCGGAGGAUUAAACACCUCCCAGCGGAGGUGGAGCACUGUUUUCUCUUUAAAUCUCUCCCCAGACCAAGCAGACACAUUACUGAUCACAGGGGGUUCCUUGCUUGCAGCCUCAUUAAAGCCAGCGUCAUUGUUCCGAGAUCAAAAACAAAACGGUCUCCUGCGGAUUGAAGUUAAAGCAAACCGCUUUUGUCACAAGACUUUUUGCAGCGUAAUUCAGCAGAGUUAAAACACAGGCGUUAGCAAAACACUCCAUAGGCCCGAGAUGACCUUAAGGAAAUAACACUUGUGUCAACAUUUUUGAGGAGAUGGACUUUAUCUUAUCAGAUUGCUCCUACUGAGGACAAUAAAAAGAAAAGAUAAAGAGGAAAAAAGGAAACAGAUACAAUCACUGCUAUUAUUGAUGGCACGCUCUCCUCUUGUUUUGUCAGCACUUUGUGGGAGGUUUAUGGGAUUCACACUCUGCUAUAAGGUAGAGGACGUUUUACAUCAUCAUAAAAUAAACAUUUUGGAUCGAAAGUUGUUUUUUUUUCCUCUAUCUACCUGAUAAAACCCACUCUAAUGACAUCAAGAGUCAAGAAUGUUUUUGAGUCAAGAAUCAAAAACAUAGGAGCUUAUUAUACUUUAGCUUAUUGACAGAAUAGUUGCUCUCACUACCAUAAAGACAUAUUUCCUAUAUGCUGAAUAUUAAAGGGAACUCAACUGAUUUUAUACAUACAAGUCUUUUGUGGAGUCAACUAGAAGACCUCGCUUGCUGUUGCCUCAAGUGAUGUAUACAAGUUGUAUACUGUUUGGUUCUCUCUCAGUGCUCUCAUUAACCUUAUUUCCAGCAGCAGCAGGCAGCUGUUUUCAGCAAAAAACAAAAAAAGAAAAACUGUGAUAAAUCCACUGUCAAGCAGCAGGCAGACAAAGUUUGCGACUAACUAAGAAAGUGGAGACGCCGUUCUUUAAAUAUCACUUGAACUAUGCACUCUGUCUUUCAGACUUCUCCUCAUCAAAACCAUGAGCUCCAUGAUACCCAAGGACACUCAUCCAAAGGUUUCCAUCAACCACCUGCUAUUUCCACUCCACUACCACCAGCGUCUAGACUCCGAGGGAAAUCCUGUCUUAUCUCCUAUCUUCAUAUGGGUUUAUGCUUUAAAAGAUUAUUCACAUCGAUGGAAUCUAAUCUCCAAAACUCCUUCUGUCGCUAACAUCAAUAAAUAUUGUUGUACACUUCCAAUUGAUCUCUACUUAUCGAACAUGUGUGUGUGUGCGUGUGUGUGUGUGUGUGUGUGUGUGUGUGUGUGUAUCUUGGAGGUGAAUAAUUCACUAAAGUGUUCUCUGUGUGUAAGUAUCACACUACAGGUAGGUUUAACAUUCUCAGUGCAAAUAAUCAAACCAGGUAAAAGAAAAUCUCAGAUCUCAUACUGUAUUUCGCUUAUCUUUCAAUAAAUGCCUUUGAACACUCUUGCUCUAAUAUGUAGGAUGACUUGGGUGAUUCAUAGAUAAUUCAUGGGUAAAACAGCAUGUCUUUAAUUUCAAACUGAGAGACAUAGAGAAUACCUCAUCCCAGGACCCUGAACUGACCUCUUUGCCAAUUAGAUAUAUGCUAGCAGGACACUACCCAAAACUUAAACACUGUGACAAAACAGAGGUUGAACAGACCGCCUGAGAAACCAUUUCUGAUCAAUAAUUUGAAUUAUGGCCUGAACUAAAAGCAUAAACUGACCCUAAGGCCACUUAGACCAGAGAAAGACUGAACAACCCCCCACCUUAAAUGGGACACAGACUCUCUUAUCUCACCAGAUCAAACCCAUAAACUCUAAUUCCUGCAAAUCUGAGCCAAACCUGAAUUUCAUCUAAAUCAAAUUUCUAAUAAUUAUGGAUGUUAUGUAAUGUUAUUUGUCAUGUAAAUACAAGAAGAAUGGUAUAACUUUCAUAGUUGUGUGACUAUCUACUAAGGAGAUAUUAAACUUUGAUUUUAUUAACUUUUUACUACAUGAAACAAUACUGCCCUCUAAUGACAAGAGUUAAAUUCCCCUAUUUUAAGAGUUGAUGAAUGUUUGGUAACCAUGUAUUUGUAUUUUAAAAUGACCAAGUGUUUAAGUUUUUAUCUAUUAACCACAUAGACAAUCAUAUUUUAGUAAUUGAAUUAGAUAAGUAGUUGUAUUGAAUGUAGUGAAUUUUCUAAAGUAAUAGGAAUGCAAAGAUAUAAUGUUUGAAGAGUUUCAGGUUGAAGUUUUCUUGUAUUAUUAAAUAGUCAUAUUGAAUGUUUUAUCUUAUGAAGUAAGAGUUGUGUUGAAUUUAUAUUUGAAUAUGUUUCUGAAGGUUUAAUCUAAUCACAUAAGUGUUCAUUUUAAUCUUAUAAGGAUAAGCACAUUAGAUAGGAAGGCACUUUGAAUGCUUGAAGCUACAAAAGUAAUGAAAUAACAAUGUUGAACGUACAUUUGAUUCUGAAUAUUGUGUUAACCUCACAGAAUUGCUCCUUUAACUGUUAUUCACUCUAUUACAGCAGAAUCAUUAUUAAUCAGAAAAUAUAAUGAAAUAAUAAUAAAUAAUAAUAAAUUCCUUUAUUUCAGAAUUGUGGAUUUUGGACAACGGAUUGUCUGAACUGGGACAUAUUCUUGGACUCACCUGGAUCUUGAGCAUGGAGCUUGAUCAAACGGGGUAGUGAGCCUGCUGCUUAGCCUUGGGCUUGGCUUGGCUGCACCCGGUCUCCGGCCAUGUUGCCACAGGUAACAACUGUGAACUUUAUUUGUACUUUCAGGUGACACAGUUUGGUCUACCACGUACAUAUUGCACUGAGCAAGCAAGAUGGGGACCAAAGAGGACUUUUAUAAUUAUGGAUGAGGAGGUCAAAGACGUAAGAGAUCGCUGAACUUUAUGUAAUACUGGACUUGAUGGGAGAGAUCAAAGAACUGCAAAAACUGCAAAAUGUUGAAAAGGAUAAAAGGACUGCCCUCUUGAAGUGCUGAGUGUCAGACUUGGAACAAUACUCACAUGAAUGACAUUAUAAUCAGCAGUCUGGAUAACGAGCCCCGGUCAUAUGCAAGGGCUGCAAUGUCGGCGCAGGGAGAGCCCACCAAAUCUGAUCUGGACUCCCUCAAGAAAGGUGAUCACCUUCUUCAACAGCAAGGGAAUAUCAAUGGAUAACAACGAAAUUGAGGCAUUUCACCCUCUCUGCCGAAAAAACAAAAGUGAGAGACCAACCAUAAUAAUUUGUUUUGUGAGCAGGCAACAAAAACAAGCACAGCUCAGGCAGGGGAAAAAACUGAAAGGAAGCAACGUGUAAACUGUUCAUAAAACUGAAUGGAUCACCAGAGGAGACUAAAAUACUUGUCAUCAAGGAGAUUGCUGAUCUGGACAAGUGAUGGCAGCUCCUGGCAGAACAGCAACCAAGCUGGCCGUGUGAUUGAAGCCUGAAGCAUAACAAGCAGAGGGGAUAAUUGUCCAUGCAGGGAGAAGUUGGGUUUCAAAUCCACCAUCUCCAAGGGUGUCCACUGAGCACAGCCAAAAUACAGACUGCCUGUAGUAAUGAUGAACAAAACAACAACAAGCUGCAACAACCGUAUAAGCAAAAAGACAAAGCAGCUUUAUUUAUAUAGCACCUUUCAAACACAGAGGCAAUUUAAAGUGCAUUACACUUAAAUAAUCUGUGACAGUUUAGUAAAAACACAUGGCUAUAUUGUUACUCUUCACAGAGUUGAAGUUGUAAUGUAAUUACUUUUACCAGUAACACAAUAUUAACAAUAACCCAGUUACUGACUUGGUGAAAACAGAGUCCCACAAAAUGUCAACAGAAUGAUGCUACACUGUAUCCUUAAUAGAUAUGAUAAUAUACAUGUGCAACAGUAUCUACACUGUUACACAAUUUUUGUUCUUCAGGCUUUUCAGGGUAAAGAGGUGAAAGAUCCUUGACUAGUCGACCAUCUAAUCUCAAUCUGAUUGAGCAUACAUUCCACUUGCUGAAGACUAGACUAAAGGCAGAGAGAGCCCACGACAAGCAAGAGCUGAAGGUGGCUGCAGUGAAGGCCUGGGAGAACAUCACUAGGGAAGAUACAAAGCAUCUGCUGAUGUCUAUGGGUCCAAGUCUUCAGGCAGUCAUUGACUGCAAAGUAUUUUCCACAAAAUAUUAAAUGGCUAUCUGUGGAAGGUCAAACUUCAUCAAUAGAAAAUCCAAGGAAAAAGAUGCUCCAGUCCUUGUUUGAUCGAUAGGUCAUCUCUGGGAAUUCAAAGACAGAUAAUAAAUAAAAAAGAAUCUCAUGCAUUACAUACAAACAAACUACAAAUUAGUAUUGACAAACUGGCCAGUGUGAUUUCACCAGAAUUUGUUGAAACAGACAACAUAUUUAUGUUCAUAUUAUACUGUGCCAAUACAAUCUUCAAUAUCUUUGCAAGUGUUGUGAGUAAUGAGAGCAUGAGUUUAUUAUGGAUGCAAAAAGUCAAGCUGGCAGACUCUUGAGAUACUGACAUUUUACAGCCUGGGGCAGCACACGGAGACAGUGUGUGGAAAUCAAUACAAGUCAUUACCAUUACUCUAAUGAUGCAGUGAGUUGGUGUUUUAAUAUCCACAACUGCGAUAAUGCAUGUGUUAUCUCAUCUGUAGUAUACAACUUGCGAGGACCAUGUGAGUGUAUUAGAAAAAAUAAAACAUACAAUAUGCUAUAUGUAUGCUAUAUGAUUUAAUAUGCCAUUCAUUUUUGCCACAACAAUAAUCUAAA